CCUACGGGUGGCAGCAGUGGGGAAUAUUGGACAAUGGGGGAAACCCUGAUCCAGCGACGCCGCGUGAGUGAAGAAGUAUUUCGGUAUGUAAAGCUCUAUCAGCAGGGAAGAAAGAAAUGACGGUACCUGACUAAGAAGCCCCGGCUAACUACGUGCCAGCAACCGCGGUAAUACGUAGGGGGCAAGCGUUAUCCGGAUUUACUGGGUGUAAAGGGAGCGUAGACGGCGAUGCAAGUCUGAAGUGAAAGGCGGGGGCUCAACCCCUGGACUGCUUUGGAAACUGGAUGGCUGGAGUGCAGGAGAGGUAAGUGGAAUUCCUAGUGUAGCGGUGAAAUGCGUAGAUAUUAGGAGGAACACCAGUGGCGAAGGCGGCUUACUGGACUGUAACUGACGUUGAGGCUCGAAAGCGUGGGGAGCAAACAGGAUUAGAUACCCUAGUAGUC
rnacentral:rRNA from 1 species